GCUUGCUUUGUGACCAACUUUAUGGUCAGUUUUGGAGAAAGCUCUGUGAGGUGCUGAGAAGGUAUAUAUUCUUUUGUGUUAGGGUGAAAUGUUCUGUAAAUAUCUGUUAUAUCGAUUUGAUUCACCCGGUUGAUUAGUUUCAUAAUUUCUCUAUUUAGUUUUUGUUUUGACACCUAUUCAUUGACAGGAGUAGGGUGUUAAAAUUUCCACAAUCUGUGGGGUUUUAAGAGCAAUUUAAAUAUUAGUAAAUUUUCUUUUAUGAAUGUGGGUACUAUUGUAUUUGGGGAAUAGGUGUUUAGAUUUAAGAGGCCAUCUUGGUGGAUUAUUUCUUUGAUGAGUAUGAAGUUUCCUUCCCCUUCUCUUUUAAUUAAUUUUGGUUGAUUUUUUUUAGAUAUUAAAUGGCUUCUUCUGCGUGUUUCUUGGGUUUGUUUGCUCAGAAAACGUUUUUUCUAGUUGUUAAGUCUCCUUCACUGUGUCACGCAGUGACAGCUUCCAUGGAAGUCAAGACAUUUUAUCGAGCGCUUCACGUAUAGGACCCGAA
rnacentral:lncRNA from 1 species